rnacentral:lncRNA from 1 species
AAUUAGGAAUUUAUUCCAAAUAUCAGCCAAUCGAGAGGACGAAUCCACAUGCCGAAGAACCUCAAUUUGGAAACUCAAUUCAAACCCGAGCUCCGAUAUCAAAAAAAUUGAGAUCCAAAACUGAAUACUCGAUCUAAUAUGAAGAACGAUGAACCAACACAGAAAUUGCUACAAAACCCACCAAACCCGCACUCAAAACUAGAGCAAAAUUAAUUCGAACUAGAAAACACUAUCUUCGCUAUUUCCCUCACUCUGACCAACUUUCUCUCUCUCGAGAUCUUCUUUGUUUUUCUCUCUAUUCUCCUUCUUGCAUCUCUCUCUCCAAACACUCUUUUUUCUUUCUGUUUCACCUCUCAAUCAUCAUUUGUGUGUUGUUACUGUUCUUUAAUCAAGUGUAAAAAAUGGAGUAUGUGCCUAGUAGUGUUCUAUGUAUUUAGUGAAGUUGAGUGUUAUGUGUGCCGUGGAGAAGAAAAGGAAAAAUGGAGUUCAUCCAUGGCUACUGUCGUGUGCUUCCAGGAAGAAAUGGAAUUCUGUAUGUUAAAUAAUGGAAAAGGUCCCCUUAUUUUUUCUUUUCUUCCCG